UAGACAGGAAGCUUCUCUUGGGAAAUUAUUUCGUUAGUUGUAACAUUAGCAAUGUUUGAAAGCAGCUCCCGUGUGCUGAUUGUCGGCCCACCCCCACGGCUCCUGUUUCGCACGUGGUGACGGCUGCUCUGGCCUCAGUCUCUGGGAAAGAGGAGGUGGCCAUUUCCCUCUGAGCCUGGGCCUGCUGCUCGGGCCACCAGUGCCGUCCAGGCCCCCGCCCUCCACGAAGGCUGCCCUGGCCCUCCUCGCACACGUGGCUGGUGAGCCCCAGAUCCGGCCCACGGUUCAGCUCAGCAGGGCCCGGGCCCAGAGCCACAGCGGCCAGGCAGGGCAGUGGAUGCAGAGAAACCAAGCUGGUCCUCUUCCAGGAGCUCUCGGAGACUCCAGAAAAGUCAGGAAGCAUGUUCUCCCAAGGGAGGCCCUCCACGUCUGCAGCUCCUUCAGCAGGUUGACCCGGGAAGCCACGGGCAAAGACAACAGACGCACAAGAGGGAGAGAGCGUGUGCCCUGAGUCGCCGCUCUGAGAAGGUCACCCACCCACCAGGAAGCCCGGUUCUUAACCUCACGUGACUGAAAACUGACACUGGGGGCUGGAGACCUCGUGCUCUAACCAGGACCCUCACCAUGACCCCCGCCAGCCAGGGGCUCCCGCUAAGAGCCACCCGGCUUCCAGGAUUGGGGGCAGGAUGUGGAGCUCUCUUGCCAAAGGCAGUCCGGAUCAUGCCGUCCCUUUACUUUGAAAGUCUGAUGACGUUGGGAAGCGGUGUUAACAACACGGGAGAAAUGCUCAUCGUAAAAGUUCAGUGAAGAAGGCAGGAUAUCGAGCUGUCCGGUCUUAACUACUUACAGCAGAAUUCCGUGAGGACGCCGCCCACGGGGGAAGGGCAGCGGUGGGCACGAUAUUUUCCUUUCUCCUUGUGGGCCUCCGUGCUCCUUUCCUCCGCUGCUGGAACAAAGCACUGCGAAGGCCGUGUCUUCAGACGACACGGUUUAUCCUUUCCCAGUUCUGGAGGUGAGAGUCUGAAAUGAGGCUGUCGGCAGGUCUGGUUCCCUCGGGGGCUCCAGGAGAGGAUCAGUCGCCUUUCCUGUGGCAGCUCCUAGGUGCCUCCCACAUCCCUUGGCUCACGGCCCCACCCUCCAUCUUCUAAGUGCAUCGCUCCAGCUUCUGCUUCCACGGUCCCACCUCCUCCGACCUCUGGCUCCCUCUUAUCAGGACACAGUGAUGACAGGGGCUCCCCCAAAGAAUCAAGGAUAAUCUCUUACCUCAAGAUCCAUGAUUUCAUCACUUCUGCAAAGUCCCUUUCGGGCACUGGGGAUUCGGGC
rnacentral:lncRNA from 1 species